AUGUAGGCCAAUCUGUCUUUCAGUAGGAAUAAAUUACUCUAAAAGAAAUGAAUCCUAGAUAGUUUUCCCUUCAAGUCAAGGUUCUUAU
rnacentral:pre_miRNA from 2 species